rnacentral:rRNA from 1 species
CCUACGGGAGGCUGCAGUGGGGAAUAUUGCACAAUGGGGGAAACCCUGAUGCAGCGACGCCGCGUGAGUGAAGAAGUAUUUCGGUAUGUAAAGCUCUAUCAGCAGGGAAGAAAAUGACGGUACCUGAUUAAGAAGCCCCGGCUAACUACGUGCCAGCAGCCGCGGUAAUACGUAGGGGGCAAGCGUUAUCCGGAUUUACUGGGUGUAAAGGGAGCGUAGACGGCAGCGCAAGUCUGAAGUGAAAUGCCGGGGCUUAACCCCGGAACUGCUUUGGAAACUGUGCAGCUAGAGUGCAGGAGGGGUAAGUGGAAUUCCUAGUGUAGCGGUGGAAUGCGUAGAUAUUAGGAGGAACAUCAGGGGCGAAGGCGACUUACUGGACUGUAACUGACACUGAGGCACGAAAGCGUGGGGAGCAAACAGGAUUAGAUACCCCUGUAGUC